rnacentral:piRNA from 1 species
AGCACAGGUUUUUGAUACAGUUCAUGA